rnacentral:tRNA from 1 species
GCCUCUAUAGCUCAGUGGUUAGAGCGGCUGCCUUGUAAGCAGUAGGUCGGGGGUUCGAAUCCCUCUAGAGGCU